GACGAACGCUGGCGGCGUGCCUAAUACAUGCAAGUCGAACGCUGAAGGAGGAGCUUGCUUCUCUGGAUGAGUUGCGAACGGGUGAGUAACGCGUAGGUAACCUGCCUGGUAGCGGGGGAUAACUAUUGGAAACGAUAGCUAAUACCGCAUAAGGGUAGAUGUCGCAUGACAUUUGCUUAAAAGGUGCAAUUGCAUCACUACCAGAUGGACCUGCGUUGUAUUAGCUAGUUGGUGAGGUAACGGCUCACCAAGGCAACGAUACAUAGCCGACCUGAGAGGGUGAUCGGCCACACUGGGACUGAGACACGGCCCAGACUCCUACGGGAGGCAGCAGUAGGGAAUCUUCGGCAAUGGACGGAAGUCUGACCGAGCAACGCCGCGUGAGUGAAGAAGGGUUUCGGAUCGUAAAGCUCUGUUGUAAGAGAAGAACGAGUGUGAGAGUGGAAAGUUCACACUGUGACGGUAUCUUACCAGAAAGAGACGGCUAACUACGUG
rnacentral:rRNA from 1 species